rnacentral:misc_RNA from 1 species
UUGAAUGAACUUGGUGGGUUGUUGCUAGCCUCUAGGGGGCGUGUGCACAUCUGCCUUUGUUUCUUUCUUUUCAACCACCUGUGCACAUUUUGUAGACCUUGGAUAUCUUUCGAGGCAACUCGGUCCAGGGGGCUGUCGUUGUGACUGCUCCUGCAUUUUCCGGUCUAUGUCCUUUCAUAUACACACCAUUGCAUGUCCCAGAAUGUAUUACCUGGGCCUUUGAAGGCCCAUAAACCUAUA